rnacentral:rRNA from 1 species
GACGAAGGAUGCAAGCGUUAUCCGGAUUCAUUGGGUUUAAAGGGCGCGUAGGUGGCCUGCUAAGUCAGUGGUGAAAUCUCUGGGCUUAACCCAGAAAUUGCCAUUGAUACUGGUGGGCUUGAGUGCAGUUGCUGUUGGCGGAAUAUGACAUGUAGUGGUGAAAUACAUAGAGAUGUCAUAGAACACCGAUUGCGAAGGCAGCUAACAAAACUGUAACUGACACUGAGGCUCGAAAGUGUGGGGAUCAAACAGG